CUCAGCUGGCUUAUAUACUUUUAAAAAGAUUCUUAACCCCACACCUGUUUCAAUGACUGCUAUUAAUUAUACUUUUCUGUAACUGGUUAAAUUGAUGGAUUCCAGUUUAUCUUGAUGAAUUUUUAGAUUGGAGAUUAUAGCAUUUUUAAAAAUUGGGCACAGAUAUUCCCUGAAGAAUAUGAAAAAUAUUUACUAUUGACUUAGUUAACCCAGUAUCCCUGAGUGCCAAAGAACUAUGAAUUCAGAUAUUGCCUGCAUAGAUCUAAAUUUUAGUUUUGUGUGCCGUGUACAUAUACAACUUUACUGUGGUUUACAGCAUAAACACAGAAUGUUGUUUCUUUUCUUUAGUUUUCAACUGGCUCACACGACAUGUAGUGCUUUCCAGCACAUAAACUACUUGUAAAUCACUGAAAUAGAGUAAUAACUGCGAUACAAGUGUUUCUUAUCUUCUGCAAAAUGAUUUGAUUAACCACAUUCAAAAUCCAGCAUUUUCACAAGUUCCGUCAUUGAAAACAGAAUACCUCUAGCUGAUGACUCGAGCUUCAGCAGACAGGUUUACAUUUUCCGAACCUGUAUGUGGUAUGUGACUCAGUGUGGCUUUUCAGUCUUGUUCGUCACUUACAUGACUGAAGUUUGCAAGGCUUCUAUUGCCAAAUAAAUUUUGAUCAGAGUACACUGACAAAGCUAAUAUAAAAGAAAGUUUCUCAGAAUAUCGUGUGUUGAUUUAGAGUACAUUGUUUGAAUCAUUUUAAAUAUAUGUAAAAGUUGGUGAAGUUUCAAAAAAAUCUCCAAGACAACAUGAAAAAUUUGAGAUUAGCAAAUAUAAAUUUAUGGAU
rnacentral:lncRNA from 1 species